UCAAAGAUCAAAGCUUUCAAAGAUAUUUUAUUGUCACGUGUACCAAUUAAGGUACAAUGAUGUUCGUAUUACCAUACAGCAAUACUAAAAAAAGCAACAAGCACAACUACAUA